GGGGGGCUCUCGGGCCCACUUCGGUCUCGGGGCCGUGUCACCACUUCGGGCUCCCCCAGCGGCAGUUCCAGCAGGGGCUGCCGCUUCGGGCGGAGAUCCUAGACUUGUUUCCUCAGGAGCCUUGCUGCCUCCCAGCACCCAGCGACGGCUGCUGGACUCCAGGCUCUGCAGAUAAAGAACUGAAAAGAACUUCAGAGGCCAUCUAGUCCAACACCGUCCACAUUUUACAGAUGAAGAAAUUGAGACCAGAAGCAAAUCUGUAAUAGGUGAUAGAGCCAGUAUCUGAGCUGGCUCUCUGACUCCAAAGUCAUCCCGUUUUCAUCUUCCUUUGUGUCCACGAUGGUACUUGACCCCAAGGCUUCCUGACUCUUGGACUGGCUUUCAGUACUCUGUGCUACCUUGGGUAAACUAGUCUUUGGGCCUGUUUUUUUCCUCUGAAAAAUGCAGAUUUAACCUCUUCUCUCUCUCUUUUUAAAAGAUUCAGUUGAGGUAAUGAUUGCGAAGUAGUUUUGGGAAAUUAAAAAUGCUACUUUUUUUUUUUCCUUGAGGCAAUUGGGGUUAAGUGAGUUGUCCAGGAUCACACAGCUAGAUAGUAUGUAGUGUUUGAGAUCACAUUUGAACUCAGGUCUUCCUGACUUCAGGGCUGGUGUUCUAUCCACUGCACCACCUAACUGCCCCCAAAAUGCUACUCUUUACCUGUCAGGUUAUUGUUAUUAAAGUCAUGGAAUUGAAUGUAAUAUUAAAAGUAUUUUAGUUCAGACUCUCUCUGAAUCACAAGUCUUGGUCUGCCCUCUUAAAGGAGUGAUAUCGAAUUAGGCUAAAGAGCUUUGGAUUUGGAAUCAUAGAGCCAGAGCUCCAUACUCAGCUCAACUGUUCACCAGGUGUGUACCCUUGGGCCAGGAAGUUAACUUGUUAACUCAGUGUCCUGUGUAAAAAGAGGUAAUUGGAUGAGAUGGUCUCCAAAUCCCUUCUCAGCUCCAGCCUUUCCUUGAGUGAAGGAAAUGAUAUAGUGAAGAGCUCACAAUAUCAUAGAAGACAGCCUAUUUUGGGAUAACUAAUUGUUAAGGUAUUUUUCAUUACUUGGAAUUAAAAUCUGCCUUUUACCUA